rnacentral:rRNA from 1 species
GAUGAACGCUGGCGGCGUGCCUAAUACAUGCAAGUCGAGCGAAGCGGGGACGGAUGAGAAACACGUGGAUACACCCCUACAUGACUGGGAUACCUUCGGGGAACCGGAGCUAAAUCUGACACUUAAAGAUGGAUCCGCGCUGCAUUAGCCAGUUGGUAAGGUAACGGCUUACCAAGGCAACGAGGCAUAGCCGACCUGAGAGGUUGAUCGGCCACAGUGGAACUGAGGCACGGUCCAGACUCCUACGGAAGGCAGCAGUAGGGAGUCGUGCGUAAUGGGCGAAAGCCGAACGCAGCAACGCCGCGUGAGGGAUGGAGGUCUUCGGAUCGUAAAACUCUGUUAUUAGGGAAGCGGUAGCUAGUCAGAAAGCCACGGCUAACUACGUGCCAGCAGCCGCGGUAAUAC